GGGGAAUUUUGGACAAUGGGGGAAACCCUGAUCCAGCCAUGCCGCGUGAGUGAAGAAGGCCUUCGGGUUGUAAAGCUCUUUCGGCGGGGACGAAACGGUCCGUGACAACACCACGGAUUAAUGACGGUACUCGCAGAAGAAGCACCGGCUAACUACGUGCCAGCAGCCGCGGUAAUACGUAGGGUGCGGGCGUUAAUCGGAAUUACUGGGCGUAAAGCGUGCGCAGGCGGCCUCUUAAGUCAGAUGUGAAAUCCCCGGGCUUAACCUGGGAACUGCGUUUGAAACUGGGAGGCUAGAGUGUGGAAGAGGGGGGUGGAAUUCCAGGUGUAGCAGUGAAAUGCGUAGAGAUCUGGAGGAACACCGAUGGCGAAGGCAGCCCCCUGGGCUGACACUGACGCUCAUGCACGAAAGCGUGGAGAGCAAA
rnacentral:rRNA from 1 species